rnacentral:rRNA from 1 species
UUCCGGUUGAUCCUGCCGGAGGCCAUUGCUAUCGGAGUCCGAUUUAGCCAUGCUAGUCGCACGGGUUUAGACCCGUGGCAGAUAGCUCAGUAACACGUGGCCAAACUGCCCUAUGGAUGGAGACAACCUCGGGAAACUGAGGCUAAUCUCCAAUACAGCUCUCAUGCUGGAGUGCAGAGAGCUGGAAACGCUCCGGCGCCAUAGGAUGUGGCUGCGGCCGAUUAGGUAGACGGUGGGGUAACGGCCCACCGUGCCGAUAAUCGGUACGGGUUGUGAGAGCAAGAGCCCGGAGACGGAAUCUGAGACAAGAUUCCGGGCCCUACGGGGCGCAGCAGGCGCGAAACCUUUACACUGCACGACAGUGCGAUAGGGGGACUCCGAGUGCGAGGGCAUACAGUCCUCGCUUUUCUGUACCGUAAGGUGGUACAGGAACAAGUGCUGGGCAAGACCGGUGCCAGCCGCCGCGGUAAUACCGGCAGCACGAGUGAUGGCCGCUAUUAUUGGGCCUAAAGCGUUCGUAGCCGGCCGAGCAAGUUCGUCGGGAAAUCUGCCCGCUUAACGGGCAGGCGUCCGGCGAAAACUGUUCGGCUUGGGGCCGGGAGAUCCAAGGGGUACGUCCGGGGUAGGAGUGAAAUCCCGUAAUCCUGGACGGACCACCGAUGGCGAAAGCACCUUGGAAAAACGGACCCGACGGUGAGGAACGAAAGCUAGGGUCUCGAACCGGAUUAGAUACCCGGGUAGUCCUAGCUGUAAACGAUGCUCGCUAGGUGUGGCGCAGGCUACGAGCCUGCGCUGUGCCGUAGGGAAGCCGAGAAGCGAGCCGCCUGGGAAGUACGUCUGCAAGGAUGAAACUUAAAGGAAUUGGCGGGGGAGCACUACAACCGGAGGAGCCUGCGGUUUAAUUGGACUCAACGCCGGA